rnacentral:rRNA from 1 species
UACGGGGGGGCAAGCGUUGUUCGGAAUUACUGGGCGUAAAGGCUCGUAGGCGGCCAACUAAGUCGGACGUGAAAUCCCCAGGCUCAACCUGGGAACUGCGUCUGAUACUGGAUGGCUUGAAUCCGGGAGAGGGAUGCAGAAUUCCAGGUGUAGCGGUGAAAUGCGUAGAUAUCUGGAGGAAUACCGGUGGCGAAGGCGGCAUCCUGGACCGGCAUUGACGCUGAGGAGCGAAAGCCAGGGGAGCAAACGGG